UGGUGGCAUGUUGAAUUGACGAACUUG
rnacentral:sRNA from 1 species